rnacentral:rRNA from 1 species
CAUGCCGCGUGCAGGAAGACGGUCCUAUGGAUUGUAAACUGCUUUUAUACAGGAAGAAUAAGGACUACGUGUAGUCUGGUGACGGUACUGUAAGAAUAAGGACCGGCUAACUCCGUGCCAGCAGCCGCGGUAAUACGGAGGGUCCGAGCGUUAUCCGGAAUUAUUGGGUUUAAAGGGUCCGUAGGCGGGCUAUUAAGUCAGGGGUGAAAGUUUGCAGCUCAACUGUAGAAUUGCCUUUGAUACUGAUAGUCUUGAAUUAUUGUGAAGUGGUUAGAAUAUGUAGUGUAGCGGUGAAAUGCAUAGAUAUUACAUAGAAUACCGAUUGCGAAGGCAGAUCACUAACAAUAUAUUGACGCUGAUGGACGAAAGCGUGGGUAGCGAACAGGAUUAGAUACCCUGGUAGUCCACGCCGAUAAACGAUGGAUACUAGCUGUCGGUUUUCGGACUGAGCGGCCAAGCGAAAGUGAUAAGUAUCCCACCUGGGGAGUACGUUCGCAAAGAAUGAACACUCAAAGGAAUUGACGGGGGCCCGCACAAAGCGGUGGAGCAUGUGGUUUAAAUCGAUGAAUACCGCGAGGAACCUUACCAGGGGCUU